AGCCUUAGGAAAAAAUCUUAGGUUUUACCUGCCCAAUGUAAAUUAUGAAUGGCCGCGGUACUUUGACCGUGCUAAGGUAGCGUAAUUACUUGUCUUUUAAAUGGAGUCAUGUAUGAAUGGAAUAACGGAGUUUGGCUGUCUCUUUAUUAAUUUAUUGAAAUUACUAUGGAGGUGAAAAAGCCUCUAAUUAGAAAAAGGACGAGAAGACCCUUAGAGUUUAAUUUAUCAAAAAUAUUCUUUUACCAAUUUUGUUGGGGCAACAUAGGAACAAUUAAAUUUCCUAAUUUUACAAACCGACCUUUGUAAGAAUGAAUAAACUACCUUAGGGAUAACAGCAUAAUUUAUUUUAAGUUUGUGACCUCGAUGUUGGACUAGGAAACUAAAUGGUUAGCCGCUUUUUGGAUAAGUUCUGUUCGAACUAUAAUUUCCU
rnacentral:rRNA from 1 species